GCAUAUCAAUAAGCGGAGGAAAAGAAACUAACAAGGAUUCCCCUAGUAACGGCGAGUGAAGCGGGAAGAGCUCAAAUUUAAAAUCUGGCGGUGUAUUCCGUCCGAGUUGUAGUCUAGAGAAGCAUCAUCCGCGCUGGACCAUGUACAAGUCUCUUGGAAUAGAGCGUCAUAGAGGGUGAGAAUCCCGUCCUUGACAUGGACUCCCAGUGCUUUGUGUUGUGCUCUCAACGAGUCGAGUUGUUUGGGAAUGCAGCUCAAAAUGGGUGGUAAAUUCCAUCUAAAGCUAAAUAUUGGCGAGAGACCGAUAGCGAACAAGUACCGUGAGGGAAAGAUGAAAAGCACUUUGGAGAGAGAGUUAAACAGUACGUGAAAUUGUUGAAAUGGAAACGCUUGAAGUCAGUCGCGUUCUCUGGGAUUCAGCCUUGCUUCUGCUUGGUGCAUUUCCUAGUCUACGGGCCAGCAUGAAUUUUGACCGUUGGAAAAAGGCAGGGGGAAUGUGGCACCUCCGGGUGUGUUAUAGCCCCUUGUCACACACGGCGGUUGGGAUUGAGGAUUCAGUGCACGCUUCUGUUGUGCUUUGAUGCUGGCGUAAUGGCUUUAAACGACCCGUCUUGAAACACGGACCAAGGAGUCUAACAUGUCUGCGAGUGUUUGGGUGCUAAACCCAUGCGCGUAAUGAAAGUGAAAGUUGGGAACCUUUUAGGGGCACCGACGCCCGGACCAGACCUUCUGUGACGGAUCCGAGGUAGAGCAUAUAUGUUGGGACCCGAAAGAUGGUGAACUAUGCCUGCAUAGGGUGAAGCCAGAGGAAACUCUGGUGGAGGCUCGUAGCGAUUCUGACGUGCAAAUCGAUCGUCAAAUGUGGGUAUAGGGGGCGAAAGACUAAUCGAACCAUCUAGUAGCUGGUUCCUC
rnacentral:rRNA from 1 species